UCCGGAGGGGGCUAGCGUUGUUCGGAAUUACUGGGCGUAAAGCGCACGUAGGCGGCUUUGUAAGUUAGAGGUGAAAGCCCGGGGCUCAACUCCGGAACUGCCUUUAAGACUGCAUCGCUAGAAUUGUGGAGAGGUGAGUGGAAUUCCGAGUGUAGAGGUGAAAUUCGUAGAUAUUCGGAAGAACACCAGUGGCGAAGGCGACUCACUGGACACAUAUUGACGCUGAGGUGCGAAAGCGUGGGGAGCAAACAGG
rnacentral:rRNA from 1 species